rnacentral:rRNA from 1 species
UUAGAGUUUGAUCCUGGCUCAGGAUGAACGCUAGCGGCAGGCCUAACACAUGCAAGUCGAGGGAUAACAGGGAAGUUCGCUUCCGCUGACGACCGGCGCACGGGUGAGUAUCGCGUUUGUAACCUACCUUUAACUGGAAGAUAGCCCGAAGAAAUUCGGAUUAAUAUUCCAUAAGACUAUAGUUUGGCAUCAUUUUAUAGUUAAAGCUCCGGCGGUUAAAGAUGGGCAUGCGUAACAUUAGCUUGUUGGUGAGGUAACGGCUCACCAAGGCUACGAUGUUUAGGGGGUCUGAGAGGAUGGUCCCCCACACUGGUACUGAGACACGGACCAGACUCCUACGGGAGGCAGCAGUGAGGAAUAUUGGUCAAUGGGCGAAAGCCUGAACCAGCCAUGCCGCGUGAAGGAUGACGGCCCUAUGGGUUGUAAACUUCUUUUAUACGGGAAGAAACCCCUCUACGUGUAGAGGGUUGACGGUACCGUACGAAUAAGCAUCGGCUAACUCCGUGCCAGCAGCCG